rnacentral:rRNA from 1 species
UCUUUUGGAGAGUUUGAUCCUGGCUCAGAGUGAACGCUGGCGGCAUGGUUAAGACAUGCAAGUCGAACGAAAAGCAAAUCUUCGGAUUUGCGGAAAGU